rnacentral:rRNA from 1 species
UACAGAGGCCCCGAGCGUUAAUCGGAAUUACUGGGCGUAAAGGGCUCGUAGGCGGCCAACUAAGUCAUACGUGAAAUCCCUCGGCUUAACCGGGGAACUGCGUCUGAUACUGGAUGGCUUGAGUUCGGGAGAGGGAUGCGGAAUUCCAGGUGUAGCGGUGAAAUGCGUAGAUAUCUGGAGGAACACCGGUGGCGAAGGCGGCAUCCUGGACCAACACUGACGCUGAGGAGCGAAAGCCAGGGGAGCAAACGGG